rnacentral:rRNA from 1 species
UACGAAGGGGGCGAGCGUUGUUCGGAAUCACUGGGCGUAAAGGGCGCGUAGGCGGCCCUCUUAGUCGCGUGUGAAAGCCCCGGGCUCAACCUGGGAACGGCGCGCGAAACGGGAGGGCUGGAGUUCGGGAGAGGAGAGUGGAAUUCCCAGUGUAGAGGUGAAAUUCGUAGAUAUUGGGAAGAACACCGGUGGCGAAGGCGGCUCUCUGGACCGAGACUGACGCUGAGGCGGCGGAAAGCGUGGGGAGCAAACA